rnacentral:lncRNA from 10 species
CAGCAAAGGACUAUCCAGCUGCACUCAGACCUCCUGGAUUCAAAUCUGUACAAUUAGACCCUUAGACCCUCUGUGCUUCAGUUUCCCCAACUGGAGAUAAUAGCAAGGCCAACCUCAUCUGGUUGUUGUGAGGAUUAAAUCCAUCACCUAAUGAGAAGCUUCCUGAAGAGGUUGAUUAAGCCCCUGCCAAGCAGCAGACACCAGCUCUUCUCCCCAACAAGAUCGUGUGCCCCUUGGGAAGCCACCUGGUCAGCAUUUUCACAGAUGCUUGCAAAGCUCCUAUGGCCAGGUGGAAAUGAGGACAAAGACCCUGAGAGACAGGAAGAAGGAGACCGAGACAGAGGAAGCGGGCGGUGGCGGAACAGAGAGAAAUAAGCG